rnacentral:rRNA from 1 species
UUGUAGAUUGCAGGUUGGAGUCUGUGUGGAAGGCGGUGUCCAAGUCCCUUGGAACAGGGCGCCCAGGAGGGUGAGAGCCCCGUGGGAUGCCGGCGGAAGCAGUGAGGCCCUUCUGACGAGUCGAGUUGUUUGGGAAUGCAGCUCCAAGCGGGUGGUAAAUUCCAUCUAAGGCUAAAUACUGGCGAGAGACCGAUAGCGAACAAGUACUGUGAAGGAAAGAUGAAAAGCACUUUGAAAAGAGAGUGAAACAGCACGUGAAAUUGUUGAAAGGGAAGGGUAUUGCGCCCGACAUGGGGAUUGCGCACCGCUGCCUCUCGUGGGCGGCGCUCUGGGCUUUCCCUGGGCCAGCAUCGGUUCUUGCUGCAGGAGAAGGGGUUCUGGAACGUGGCUCUUCGGAGUGUUAUAGCCAGGGCCAGAUGCUGCGUGCGGGGACCGAGGACUGCGGCCGUGUAGGUCACGGAUGCUGGCAGAACGGCGCAACACCGC